GUCAGGUGUAGCCGCAGCGAAAGCGAGUCUGAAGAGGGCGAGUUAGUUGCAGGACGUAGACCCGAAGCCAGGUGAGCUAUCCAUGGUCAGGUUGAAGCGUGGGUAAGACCACGUGGAGGACCGAACCCACUGAUGUUGAAAAAUCAGGGGAUGAACUGUGGAUAGGAGUGAAAGGCUAAUCAAACCUGGAGAUAGCUGGUUCUCCCCGGAAUAUAUUGAGGUAUAGCCUCGUGAGAUUCGCGUCGGAGGUAGAGCACUGGAUGGGCUAGGGGUCCCACAGGAUUACCAAACCCAACCAAACUCCGAAUGCCGGCGACGUCAUCACGGGAGUCAGACUGCGGGAGAUAAGUUCCGUGGUCGAGAGGGAAAGAGCCCAGACUACCAGCUAAGGCCCCUAAGUGCGUGCUUAGUGGAAAAGGAUGUGGGGACACAUAGACAACCAGGAGGUUGGCUUAGAAGCAGCCAUCCUUGAAAGAAAGCGUAAUAGCUCACUGGUCAAGUGGCCCUGCGCCGAAAAUUCAACGGGGCUCAAGCACGCCGCCGAAGCUGUAGGUUCUCGAGAGAGAGCGGUAGGGGAGCGUUCCAGUCGCGGCGAAGGGGUUCCGGAAGGAUACCUGGAGUGACUGGAAGUGAGAAUGCCGACAUGAGUAACGAUAAACCGGGUGAAAAACCUGGUCGCCGUAAACCCAAGGUUUCCUGCGCAAGGGUAAUCCGAGCAGGGUUAGCCGGUCCUAAGCCGAGGCCGAGAGGCGUAGGCGAUGGAGAACGGGUUAAUAUUCCCGUGCUACCCGUUGGAGUGGAGGGGGGACGGAGAAGGAUAGACCGGCCAGCGGUUGGAAGAGCUGGUGCAAGCCUGUAGGUGGUCGUCGUAGGAAGAAAACGCGACGGCAACGCCGAGAGGUGAUGGCGAGACGGGCCUUCGGGGCUGUCGAGCGGUUGAUUCCAUGCUUCCAGGAAAAGCCUCGGUCCACAGUGAAGACGUGGUAACCGUACCGUAAACCGACUCAGGUGGGUGGGGAGAAGAUCCCAAGGCGCUUGAGAGAACUCUGGUUAAGGAAUUAGGCAAAAUGGCACCGUAACUUCGGGAGAAGGUGCACCUUGGUUUGUGUAGCGGCUUGCCCGUGAAGCGGACCGAGGGCUCAGUAAAAUGGCGGUAGCGACUGUUUACUAAAAACACAGGACUCUGCAAAGUCGUAAGACGAUGUAUAGGGUCUGACGCCUGCCCGGUGCUGGAAGGUCAAGGGGAGCUGUCAGGGCAACCGAAGCAGCGAACUGAAGCCCCAGUAAACGGCGGCCGUAACUAUAACGGUCCUAAGGUAGCGAAAUUCCUUGUCGGGUAAGUUCCGACCUGCACGAAUGGCGUAACGACUUCCGCGCUGUCUCGACCUGGGACUCGGCGAAAUCGACAUGGGGGUGAAGAUGCCCUCUACCCGCGGCAAGACGGAAAGACCCUGUGAACCUUUACUGUAGCUUGGCAGUGGCAUUCGGUUCAUUCUGUGUAGGAUAGGUGGGAGCCAUUGAACCCGGCACGCUAGUGUUGGGGGAGGCACCGUUGAAAUACCACCCUGGAUGUGCUGGAUGCCUAACCCCUUCGGGGGGACACUGCCUGGUGGGCAGUUUGACUGGGGCGGUCGCCUCCCAAAGAGUAACGGAGGCGCGCAAAGGUUCUCUCAGCCAGAUCGGAAACCUGGCGUAGAGUGUAAUCGCACAAGAGAGCUUGACUGCAAGACCGACAGGUCAAGCAGGUGGGAAACCAGGCGAUAGUGAUCCGGUGGUUCCACGUGGACGGGCCAUCGCUCAACGGAUAAAAGGUACGCCGGGGAUAACAGGCUUAUCUCCCCCAAGAGUUCACAUCGACGGGGAGGUUUGGCACCUCGAUGUCGGCUCGUCACAUCCUGGGGGGGUAGCACCUCCCAAGGGUUCGGCUGUUCGCCGAUUAAAGUGGCACGCGAGCUGGGUUUAGAACGUCGUGAGACAGUUCGGUCCCUAUCCGCCGUGGGCGUAGGAAGUUUGAGAGGCUCUGUCCCUAGUACGAGAGGACCGGGAUGGACGAACCGCUGGUGAACCAGUUGUUCCGCCAGGAGCACAGCUGGGUAGCUAAGUUCGGAUCGGAUAACCGCUGAAAGCAUCUAAGUGGGAAGCCGACCUCAAGAUGAGACUUCCCUGGGACUUCGGUCCCCUGAAGGGCACUUCGAGACGAGGAGUUCGAUAGGCUGGAGGUGGAAGCGUGGCAACACGUGGAGCUGACCAGUACUAAUCGCCCGUGAGGCUUGACCAC
rnacentral:rRNA from 1 species